CAUCCAGAUCAGACCCGACCCGGAUCUACUGCCGCCGGCCCGCCGGUAAACCGUGAACUUUCUACUUCCCAUAAUUUGGAGAGGGAUAAAAAGCAGCGCAGAGCUAAAGUUAGAGUGAGAGGAAUGGUGGGAACCUUGCUCUCUCUCUACACCUAUACUGUUAUCCAUCAUCAUCAGCAUUCAUUAUUUGUAUCGAAGCAAUUCUUUGCCUCUCCACCUAAAUUUCAUAAAUUUUGCUUUUUUUUCUGUUCGGAAUUCUUCCCUUUUUUGAUCUCAUCUGUCAAUAUAUGCAACCGAGAAGAGAAUGAGCGGAGACGGAGUUUGGAGAUUGAAUCACUGCAUUUGAUUCGGUUCUGGUGAAGGUGAGCUUCAGCUUCGUAACAAAUUUUGUUUGCUGCUUUCUCUGCCAUUUUACGUACUCACUUCAAAGCCACGUAAAAUUGGACGCAAACACUGAAGUAUGGUUGGGAAGCCCAAGAAGGAAAUUUUCAUCAACAUAUGAUCAUGAGAUUACUACGGUUCCCACAGUCUUCGGACCAAGCUGCUUCAGGUUCAGGUACGCCUAAUGGAAAGUGUGCCUGCGACGUAUACUGCUUCGGGAAGGUAUGGCUCGAGCUUGUGACUGGUAAGCUGGGCUUGAGUUCAUCCACCAACACCACCACGAAGGAGUGAUUAGAAGCAACGCAACCGUACAUUAGUAUGUACGACAAGGAGCUAGUCACAAACAUCGUGGACCCUUCAAUCCCAAGAAGAAGUACGAGCGAUGGCAAUAAUCGCGAGGUCUUGCCUCAAUCCCAAGCCGACAAGGCGAUGCACAACAUCCUCAAAGCUUUGGAAAAUCCUCUGAAGGUGGUAAGAACCGCAACAUCCUCUAGAGGGUCAUGGAGUGCUGCUCUAUUUGGGAGCUGGCGGCAGGGUUCUUCAGCGGCCAUGUCCCAUAAAGCUGAAGGCAGCAACGGUUUCAAGCAGUCGGGAAUGACGGGGUCUAUAGGGAGCGGGCGGA